rnacentral:rRNA from 1 species
UACGUAGGGUGCAAGCGUUGUCCGGAAUUAUUGGGCGUAAAGAGCUCGUAGGCGGUCUGUCGCGUCGGAUGUGAAAACCCAGGGCUCAACCCUGGGCCUGCAUUCGAUACGGGCAGACUAGAGUUCGGUAGGGGAGACUGGAAUUCCUGGUGUAGCGGUGAAAUGCGCAGAUAUCAGGAGGAACACCGGUGGCGAAGGCGGUUCUCUGGGCCUUACCUGACGCUGAGGAGCGAAAGCGUGGGGAGCGAACAGG